rnacentral:lncRNA from 1 species
GUGUUUGUCUCAGAGGCAGGAUGGGGAUUGAUUGAACCUAUAUUUUCUUUCUUUUUUUUUUAAGAUUUUAUUUAUUUAUUUGACAGAGAGAGAGAGAGAAAACACAAGCAGGGGGAGAAGAGGGAGAAGCAGACUGCCUGCUGUGGGGAUCAAUCCCAGGACCCUGGGAUCAUGACCUGAACCGAAGGCAGAUGCUUGACCGACUGAGCCCCCAAGCACCCUGGACCUAUACUUUCUGCAUUGUACAUACUUCUCUCUCACAGUGGAUUAUAACAUUCUGGAGAGGUACCAGGUACACAGGGUACUUGGCCCUGGGUCUAGCCAGGUACAAACACGGUAAAUAUUUGUGGAAUGGGUAGAUAUCAACAAUUUUAGAGCACCAUUACAUCAGUUGAAAAGAAUAAACCUUAACAUGGCAAAACAUAUUAAAUCUUUGUCUUUGACUUCCAGAUAAGCUGUUCAUUUUAAACUCUUAGGAAAGAAGGACAAGGACAAGUGCAGAGUGGCGGGUGUGCACAUCUUCAAUAGAAAACCCAAUAGGACGUUUGAAGAUUUUGGACAACAUUUCCAAUGUUGAUUGGAAAAAGAAAAAACCCAUGCAGUGUAUAUAAUUCCAAAUAUAGGGUGACUGCAUAAUCAUUGUUGAAACUGGGGCAUUUUUGGGAAUGAAAGUUGAUGCUGAAAUACUUAAAAUUAUAUAAUUUUGUGUUGGUUUGAAACCCUCACAGGAGCUUCCUGGGUGAAAUCUGAAACCACCUCCGUACUCAGAAGGCAGAGAGAGCAUCUUCUUUAUCCAUCAUCUACUCUUGGACAUUUGGGCUCCUUCCAUAAUUUAGCCGUUGUAAAUAAUGCUGCAAUAAACAUAGGGUGCAUAUAUCUUUUUGAAUUCGUGUUUUUGUAUUCUUUGGGUAAAAUACUCUGCAGUGGAAUUAGAACAAAGUAUUUACUUUUUUAAAUUUUUAUUUAUUUAUUCAUGAAAGAGAGAGAGAGGCAGAGACACAGGCAGAGGGAGCCCGACGUGGGACUCGAUCCAGAG